GGUGCUGCAUGGCUGUCGUCAGCUCGUGCCGUGAGGUGUAUGGUUAAGUCCCACAACGAGCGCAACCCUCGUCGCUAGUUAAUUCCUAGCGAGACCGCCCGCAAAACGAGGAGGAAGGCGGGGAUGGCGUCAAGUCAGCAUGGCCUUUAUACCCUGGGCGACACACACGCUACAAUGGGUGGUACAGUAGGUAGCGAAGGAGCGAUCCGGAGCAAAUCCUUAAAACCAUCCUCAGUACGGAUUGCAGGCUGAAACCCGCCUGCAUGAAGCCGGAGUUGCUAGUAACCGCAUAUCAGCAUGGUGCGGUGAAUACGUUCUCGGGCCCU
rnacentral:rRNA from 1 species